rnacentral:rRNA from 1 species
GAUGAACGCUGGCGGCGUGCCUAAUACAUGCAAGUCGAACGCAUUGUGGUUGAAAUGAUAUGAAGAACUUGUUCAGAUUUGAUUUUCAACAUUGCAAUGAGUGGCGAACGGGUGAGUAACACGUGGGAAACCUACCUCUUAGCAGGGGAUAACAUUUGGAAACAAAUGCUAAUACCGUAUAAUAAUUAAAACCGCAUGGUUUAGUUAAAAGAUGGUCUUGCUAUCACUAAGAGAUGGUCCCGCGGUGUAUUAGUUAGUUGGUGAGGUAAUGGCUCACCAAGACAAUGAUACAUAGCCGAGUUGAGAGACUGACCGGCCACAAUGGGACUGAGACACGGCCCAUACUCCUACGGGAGGCAGCAGUA